rnacentral:lncRNA from 1 species
GAAACAGAGGGUGAGGAUGGAACCUGUGCUCACAAUAGAUGAUGGAAGCUGAAAUCCAGAUAACCUCACUUUUAAAUUGCCUUGCUGUGGCUGUCCGUCAUAAAUUGACAGUAUAUCAAAAUCUUCCUCGAGGGCAAAAGUAUGAAACGACAGUUGUAUCCUGUUUCGUUCUCCUGUGAUAAUGAUCCACGUGCAGUUGGCAUAAUUUGGAUAACCGUGAGGAAAUCCAGGGCUUUCUAUAGUACCAUUCGGUCCC